rnacentral:lncRNA from 1 species
AACACACGCCCAUAUGGAUCCUUACAUAUCCCCCCCAUUAAAGUCUUGGGUAGAUCUUGGGUACUUAUACAGGAUCAAGAAACUCAAAUAAUACCUUCCGGCUAGCCAUUUUGAGUGAGGUCUUGGGUUGUUGCAAAUGGUAUCAGAGCCGACCCGACCCAUAGCCUAUGUAGACUAGGGGACACUGCAGAACGGAUCCAUUGAGGCCGGCUGACCACGGGCCGAUCAUAGUGUUUGUGAUUAUAUUUGAAUAGAUUUGAAUCCUUAGCCUGACGAGGACGUCAGCGCUUAAAUGGGAAAGUAUGUGAGGACCUGUACGGACGUAUGUUUAGUCUCACAUUGGUUAUUCACUAGAUAAAUCUUGGGUACUUAUAAAGGAUCAAAGAAUACAAAUAAUACAUUCCGGCUAGUCAUUUUGGAUGAGGUCCUGAGUUGUUACAGCGACAUUCUACAAUAGCACUGCCAUGUCAUGGGCCGAAUCUUGGGCGCGAAAAAUCAUGUCCAGAUCCGAGCCGUGACAGGAACAAAGUUAUAUCAAGUGGCUGUGAUGUCUUAUAUCACUAUUAAAACACAAUUGUAAUAUUAUUACUAAUUAUACUAACAGAAUUAUAUUUAUAUCACUCACAAGUUAUUUCAAGUAGGUUGUGAUGUCUUAGUAAUAAUAACUCCGUGGACAAAAAUAAUUAAUCAUUUUUUUAAAG